CCCCCCCCCCCCCCCCCCGCGAUUCAGGAGGCACCAAUUACUCAUGUUCCAGACAGCAGUUGUCUUCAGCUUCUCAUUAGGCAUGGCUACAUGCAGGCUGGUAGCUUGGCCCUGGAGCUUUGGGGCCAGCUUGAGGAAUGUGGCUCUACUUCUCCUGAAAUUCUGCCACCACUCUUCGUUAUUCCAGGUCUCCAGGACUGUCUGCUUGUCUCCUGGUUCAGACUUGCCCUGUCUGCAAGUGGUCCCAGGGGAAUCUCAAAGCUGUCCAUAAAGGAGUCCUUUAUUUCUACUUUCUCAGAUGUGUGGAGCAUAUAGCAGAACUGGAGGGGAUGCCUUGAGUGCAAGGGUUGUGGAGCCUUGAUUGUUAUUCUUUGUCAUGAUAGCUCACAGAUGUGCUGGAAGACUAGGGAGAAAAAGACCAAGUAGGCAAUUACUGCUGCAAACUGUGGAGCAGAGCCAAUACCUUGCAAUAGUGUUCAGUGAGAGGCUGGAGAGUGAAAAGUUGGUAGAAAUCCAUUCUUUGUUCCCACUAGAAAUGCAGCAUGCAUGAAAUUGACCGGCUCUGCAGUGUCAGGAAGCAUUGAGCAGAAACUGGGGUGUCAAAUACCUGUAAGGCUUUGGCAAUCUAACUCAGCUAUUCUUGGAAGCCUCGGGGAUUAUGGCACAAGGGCCACCAACUUCCUCCUCAUCAGCCUUCUAGCUGGUGUGGUGCAACAGCACUGGCUUUGGCAUUUCAUAUAGCACUUCACCUGGGGGGAGAUGGGUUGAUGUGCCUUUGUACAGAACUAAUGCACUCCAGAUUAAAGCAUUUCAAAUUCAGGUGUGAUUUUAAAAGGCUACAUAAGUACUUUUUUCUGUUGCCUAAUUAAAACCACUUGACCCUUCUCAGUUAAGGGAUCUUGGUGUUUGUGUACAAAUCCCUUCUAACUUGUGACUUGGUUCUUCAGUCAGAUCCUGUGAAGACUAGUUAAGAGGAGGGCAAGGCUGCAGUAAACCCAUCUAUCUCAUGGUCUUGUCCUUUUCAGCUUAUUGUUACCUUUUGGCUGUAGGCUCUGUCCUUUGUAGCAUCUUGAUUAAGGCAGUAGCCCUGACAAGUGGAGUUUCUGCAGGUGGGACUCUGUUAAAGCCAUCUUGAAAGUAAUUAGGUUCCCUCUAGAGCCGGGGCAGGCAAUUAUUUCAGGUGUAGGGCUGCUUACUGAGUUUUGGCAAGCCAUCGAGGGCCUCAUGACAGGCAGCCAGGGACAGAUAAAUAUUAAUUUUCUAAUUUUUUUAGGGGCCCCGCGGAUCGGAUAGAAUGGCCUAGCAGGCCGCAUCUAGCCCAUGGGUCGCAUUUUGACCACCCCUGCUCUAGAGGCCCUGUCCCUCCAGUGGUCCUUGAGAUUUUUAUGGCCCUAGAACCCUUGUUUCUCCCACAAAGGCAAAAAAGGAUGCGACAGAAAUGGAGGGAGGUUGUAAGUAGGAACUUCAGCCUUUUUCUCCUGAUGUAGACACAGGGGUUUAAUGGAUAAGAAUUGUGCCCUUGGCAACAUGGGGGUUGUGUCCCAGUAGUCUCUGUCUGCUCACUAAUCUCAUGCUUCUCCCUGUUGCCCACUUUAGGAGAUGUCAUUGCAGGUGGACAUGUCAAUGUGGCCAGUAGCCAAGGGGUUAAUGUAAGGACCUUGCAGCCACUCUUGUUGCUCAGUGCUGCUGAUUUCAGUUGCCAGGGGGUUUUGCAACACUGAAUUCAGUAGCAUCUCCCUCUGCAGCUGUGGUAUCUCCCACUGGGGUCGGGGGAACCCAAGGCUGAAAAGGGAAUUGGGGCUGUGACCCCCAUAAGCCCCCAACUGCCUCACAGGUUGCAAGUGACUCCUACCACUGCUCCCUGAGGCCAAAGCCUAGAGUCUGCCCAAGUUCCACAGAUUCCCCUUGCUGGUGGCAAUAAACAACGGUAGAUCUGUGGUGCCCCUAUUAACUUGGUGCUGGUGGCUCGUGCCCCAGUCACCCAUCACUAGUUACACUAAUGUGUGGACUUUCCUGCAUUGCAUGAGUGCCUGAAACCAAGGAAAUGAUUUGAUCAGAAGUGAAAGGACCUGAUGUUUAAUCGAGUCCAUGAAGUGCAAAAAUUGUGCAUACUGUGUAAACAGGGACAAAGUAUGUUUGUAAUGUUUAGUGUCCACUUGCAUACAUUCAUGCUUUUAUCCUAAGCAAACAGGAUUGCUUUACAGAAGUGGUCAAGAUAUAAAAAUGCCUGGAUAGGCACUUUUAUAUGCAAGCCACUUUUGCAGAUAGUUUUCAUAAAGCUUGCCUGCAGCUUAACACUAAAAAAAAAAUAAUCUCCUGGACUUCUGUAGAGCAGGGAAGGGAUAACUUGAAUGCUCAUUAGCCAUCACUGGGGGGACAUACAUAUGCACUUCAGCAGACUGAAGGAUUGCUUGCUUAGAUUGCUAGUGGCUGAGAAUAUUGUUGCCUGAAUUGUACAUUGAAUCUUUUCUUUCCGUAUUCUGGAUUGGAUGGGUUUUCUGCCAGAUAGAGGAACAAGAGGCCUCCAUUUGGCUUCCUAUCAUGGAGUCAGCUCAGGCAAUAGCUCAAAAAUUGAUUAAAGUCAUAUUGCUUGAAUUGUGCUUUGUGAAUGUAGUGACCAUUAGGAAAAGUCAGCUGAUAGUUUUUUUCUAUUAAGCGGCUACCCCAUAGUAUUUAACAUAUUAAUAUCACUUAAUAUUAUUAAUCCUAACUCACCUGUGAGGCAGGAAGCUGGUAUUACUGUUUUAGAGAUGAGGAAACGCAUAUACAACAGGGUUAAGUGAGAAGCCCUAUUACAUGAUUGUAGUAUAAUAUAUGGCAUUAGUAGAGGGAAAUUUAUGAUAGGUAGUAUAUUAGUGGUUAUUAUCAGCAGCUAAAUAUGGAACACUUAUUUGUCAAUUAUAGGCGACCCUCGCCAUUUGUGGGGGAUACACAUGAAUGAGAGCCAUGUGAAUGGCAAAAUCCACAAAUAUGGCACUGUGUUCAUGAAUGUCAUGACUGCAGUGUCCCUGGCGGCUGGGGGGGAGCACAGCUGCACUGGCAAUGGCAGGAGCCUGGUGGCGGCAAGCGUGGAGCUCCUGUAAGUGUAUUUAAGAUGCGGGUUUGGCACUUGCGAAUAUUUGAAACCGCAAAUGCCAAACCCAAAAAUAGCGACCGUUUCCUGUACUUGUCAGUACCACAGACCAGUGAGGGCCAACCUUUUGGGCAGGAGUGCUGCAAAUUAGCUCUAUACCCUCUCCAAGUGCCAUUCUGAUCCCCUUUGCCUGCUUGAUCUGCUGCUCUGCUUCCUGUCUCUUGCCCUAUCUGCCACUGUGCUGCUUGUCUGUCCUCUCCUUGAUCUGCCGUAUGCCACACACAGCCAGCCCAUGCCACUUGUGGUAUGUGGUUCAGGUUGGCCACCCUUGCCAUAAACUAUUUCCUUAAGAAUUAACGUUCACAGAGGGAAGGUAAAAACAACUGGCAAAGUGGCUGGAAGUUUAGUAACUGCAUCACGCUAAAAGAUGAAGCUUGAGCCGUAUUCCAGUCAUGUUGGUGCUACUGUUGCUUAUGAAAUUAAUAUUUUUGGUCCAAUCACGUUGAUGCUACUGUUGCUUAUAAAAUUAAUAUUUUUGGUAUUGAAGUGUUUGGUUUGAGGGAGCAAAGUCAGAUGUUAAAGCUGUCUGCUGGUCUUUAUAAGAAGGCUCACAGCAAAUGAGGGAUUUGAAGAUGAGAGACUGAAUGGUGAUAGUCCUGGAGGAGAUGCUAUUCAUAAGGAGUGGGUGAAAAGUGGUGACUUCAUGAGAUAGGACAGAUCUCCUAGAGUGCGCAUCCCAGGGUGAUUGCUGCGUAGACAUAUCUGGUGAGUUUCCUAGUGAAUCUAGUGUGUCUUAAGAUUUGGUCCAUUUACAACGUGUUGAAUUAGGUUGGAUGAUGCUUCAGAUACUAUCAGUAGUUAAUGCAGUCCCUAUAUGGGAGCUGAACUGGGUUUUUGUGAAAUUUCCCUAAUGUAGUAUGGUCCUGGUCACAACUACUGGACAGGUCACUCUCCUUUCACAGUUAUAACGUCUGGUUGUUUGUUCUCUUUCUCUCCCUUGAUUUAGAGAACGUUGCUUUAGAAAGCUUCAUUACUUCAGCUACCAGGACAAUGUUACUUAAUGGGGGGGUCUGUUAAUUUCUACACUGGCCUGGGAGAACUAGGACAUAUAAAUAGUACAUAUAUACUUGGGUUUAUAUGAAAUAAAAAACUGAAUAGGGUCACCCACCUCAGGAAAAAAGCACUUUGGCAUAGACAAUGGAAAUCUCAAUGUCUGGUCGAUAAUAUCAGGAACUGGAGUCCAGAAGAAAAGGGUCUGGUUUAAAGCCUGUGGAAUCAUGCACAGAAGAACCUGAGUCACUUUGUAUCCAAAGUGUAUUCUUAAUUCAACAAUUUCGUAGCACAUUGCUGAAUUAAGAAUGAGACACUUGGCUGUUUGCUGUGGCUCUUAUUUCAAAAGGCACUGCUUUUCUGAUUAGCUGGAGCUCAUCUAGUCCACAGCUCAUAGUGAAGUGGCACCUUUUGAAGUAAAAGCUGCAUCAAACCAUGCCAUAAAUACCCCCAGAUACUUCCCAAAACCUCAUCUUUUCAGGGGGGUUAGAAAACUAAGCCUGCAAAAUAUUCUGGUUCUACUGAAUUUGCCACCCCCAGGUCUGGGAGUAAAAAUGUAGCUCUGUAGUGUAGAGGGCUUCUGGUAAUCCUGUACUUCAGGGCUUUUGCCAGUUGGGGCCAAGAAGUACUUUUUCUGUCCCUUUCAUGAAUGCCACAGGCUAUUGAGUUGUGUGGGUUUUUGGUUUUUUCCUUUUGGGACAUUCAGAUUUCGGCCACAGCUAAGGCUAGGAGUUUUAACUGAAGUGGAUUGAUGUUUCUUCCAGUAACAGGAACUGAGGGGUUUCUGGCUAAAGGAUCUGUCUCUUCCACUAAGGGUAAUACCAAUCACCAAAUUAGGAUUUUGAUGACAGUUUGUGCUUUUCUCUAGCAUGGAGCGUAGUCUUUUUCCCUAGGAUAUCCCAAGCAGAUAUUAAACAACAACUUCCUGCUGCUGCAGUGGUGGUACCAUCAUCUCUCUGGUUUUUACCUGAGGCAUAUUAUGAAAUGCUUUUGGUGCAUGAAGGUUUGAGGAUUCAUUUGAGUAACGAUUGCCUGUAAAUACAGGGGACUUGACUUGAUGGCUCAGGAGGCCUCUUCCAGUUUCAGGUUUUUAUGUUGCUGUUCAGAGUAGAUUCACUUUGUCUACCCAGCAGUCAGCCUGGGAUGAGCAGAGCACUCUAGAAGAUAUGUCACACUGCUACUGAUAGCCGAGCACGAUCCGGGGCCUACACAACACACACCACUGUAGUGUGCUGUGUAAACAUGUGUCUGCAGAGGGAGAGGUGUGAGAAAAAGCAAUUUUGUGCCCAAAAGCUUCUCUAACAUGUCUUCCAAGUUAUACAGUUAUUCCAAUAACACCAAAACACACCUUGCUUCUUUUGAAUUUCCUGUACCAUCACAGCUACAAUAAUACUCCAUCCCUACUAUGAGGGAUAGUUGCAAACUUCAUAAGGAGAUGCCUUGUUGGGACAGUUGUUCUUGCUGAUAUAGACUGCCUCUCAAAUAUGACUUGGCUCUACUAGUAUUUCAGAUGAAUAAUAAAUGCUGGUUUGCUUGGAAAAGGCAGCCUGCAUUACUGCAAUUACUAAGGAAUUUUUCUGUGGCCACACCAGUGUGUGUUGUAACCCAAAGGCCUGGUGUUUCAGUGAAAGGACCGUGGCAUCUGCUAUUAUUAACAAGAUGGGUCUGAGGCUGGCUUCAAGAGGUAGUUGGAGAGAUUGUAUAAAUGUUGAGGCCUUGAGCAAACCUGUUCAAGCCAUGUUCAUGCCAUGAAAUGAUCCGUGUAAUGUACUCAAAGACAAAAUACUGCCACUAGUUGACUAAUGUAAAUCAACACAUUACAUAUUAUUUCCAUCUGAAGGCAAUGACUUACAAAACAUUUUUAACACUGUACUGCUACUCUGUGUUGAAAAGCCUCAUCUCUAUCUAGUUGUUUAUAAUUAAAUAGAAAAAUGUAAUUGAUUAAAUUUGUGAAAAGAUGGCAAAGGAAUUGAAUCUUCAGUGCUGAAGAUCUUAACCCACAUCUUGGUCUGAUUCAUAAAUGGAUGACAUACAUGAAUAAAAAUAGCUCUUGUAAUUACACUACAUAUGGGAUAAAAAUGAUAAAUCUAAGCCCUUCCGCUUCAGGAUUUAAUGUAAUGUCAGCUGAGGUCAGGAAGAAAAGCUUUCACUUAAUUAUACUAGACACAUUUAACACCUGUUAGUUCUCUCCUAGUCCAGUUACAGUCCUAUGUAGAGCAAAUCUCUGCAUAAUUAAGCCUAGUAGAAUCUAUUCAGUAAACAUUUCUUGCUAUAUUAAACUGGGAUUUAUUGAUGCAGUGGACAGACUUCAAAUGCUAUUUACUAUGAACAGCCAGGUUUCUCUGCAAAUAUAUGGAGUGUUUCUACUGUCAGUUAGGUCUUGUGUUCUCUUUAAGGAUCGAUUUAAUGAUUCAGAGGCUUGAUACUUAACAGAGAUUAAUGCUCCCAGCCUUUUCUUUUAAUGUUAAAUAUGCAGAUAUCUUGGUAUGAGAUUGCUUCUGUGUGUGUGUGUGUGUGUGUGUGUGUGUAUGUAUGUAUGUAUGUGUAUAUAUAUAUCUAUAUAGAUAUACACACGCGCACUAGCAAUAUACUAUGUAUAGUUGUGUGUGUGUGUGUGUGUAUGUAUAUAUAUCUAUAUAGAUAUACACGCGCACUAGCAAUAUACUAUGUAUAGUUGUGUGUGUGUGUGUGUGUGUGUGUAUGUAUGUAUAUAUAUCUAUAUAGAUAUACACACGCGUACUAGCAAUAUACUAUGUAUAGUUGUGUGUGUGUGUGUGUAUGUAUGUAUAUAUAUCUAUAUAGAUAUACACACGCGUACUAGCAAUAUACUAUGUAUAGUUGUGUGUGUGUGUGUGUGUGUAUGUAUAUAUAUCUAUAUAGAUAUACACGCGCACUAGCAAUAUACUAUGUAUAGUUGUGUGUGUGUGUGUGUGUGUAUGUAUAUAUAUCUAUAUAGAUAUACACGCGCACUAGCAAUAUACUAUGUAUAGUUGUGUGUGUGUGUGUGUGUGUAUGUAUGUAUAUAUAUCUAUAUAGAUAUACACAUGCGUACUAGCAAUAUACUAUGUAUAGUUGUGUGUGUGUGUGUGUGUAUGUAUGUAUAUAUAUCUAUAUAGAUAUACACAUGCGUACUAGCAAUAUACUAUGUAUAGUUGUGUGUGUGUGUGUGUGUGUGUAUGUAUGUAUAUAUAUCUAUAUAGAUAUACACAUGCGUACUAGCAAUAUACUAUGUAUAGUUGUGUGUGUGUGUGUGUGUGUGUGUGUGUGUAUGUAUAGUGUGUGUGUGUGUGUGUGUGUGUGUGUGUAUAGUCAAGAAAUAACAUUAAUUAGAAAAUGAAAAUGUUAUUAAGCAUGUCCCUCUUCAUUUUACCUGAAUAAAAGGAAUGUGUGUGCUCAAAUAAAAGCAGGUAGCUGUAAUUCACAGGAAGUAGCCUCACAACAUGUGCUACCCUGGUCAAUUUUCCAGAAAUAUUGGUGAAUCUUAACUCUGUCAAUGAAGUUUUUGAACAGCAAAUUAUUCUAAUGUUAUAUUCAGUGUAUUUCAAUUAGUGGUAUUCUGUUACUUCCUUUGGAUUAAUCAAUAGCCUACUGCAUUUCACUGCAACAAAGCUUUCCCUGGUGUUCAGCCUAUUGCAUCAUUUCGCCUCUGGCUACUGAACCAAUUAAUUCUUCUUGAUGCUUAUGCUCUUCAGAUAUUUGCUCAUGUUAAUUUGUUCACCUGUCUUCUGUACACAGAGAAAAAUGGACUUUCAUUUUGGAUGAGACUUAUUUGAGAAUAAGAAAAGCAGUUCAGGAAAGAACUGAAAGAAAUUUCCAGAAGAGGAAAUGAUCCUUCACCCACUUACAACCAUCUUAGCACAACUGCUUUGAAUACAAGCAAUUAAUCAGUCUGUGUUAGACAUGCAGCACACACAUUAAGUCAUACAUUGUACAAAGUUAUAGGUCUAGAAGGGCAGAAAAGGUUCUUUGGGUAAAUCAGAUAUUUUUUAUUAGUCCAACUCAAAUACUUCUAGGUCUAGAAGGGACACUCAGGUCAUCUGGCCCAGGCCCAAAGCAAAACCAGCUCCCCCUAAGCCAUUCUUUGCAGAUGUUUAUCUAAUCUCUUGUUAAGAAAAACUCCAGAAAUGGAGAUCCCACAAGCUCCCUAAGUAAUCUAUUCCAGUGCUUAGCAGUCUUAAACUUAGGAAAACCUAAUACCUCACCUAAAUUUCUCUUACUGCAGUGUAAGGGCUACUGUUACUUCUCUUAACCCCACCAGACAAGAAAAGCAGUUUCUUCCCUCUUCCACCAAACCCAUACAGGACAAAGAUCAGACCUUGAGAGAAAUAUUCCUAGCCCUUCUUCUCUUGUAUUUCAAACAGCCCCCUAACCUGGCCCAGUUUAUCAGAAGCAAGCUCUCCCCUGUCCAACAGCCAUCAAGUGAAGCACAGCCUUGACCCUUAGCAAGAAAUGCUUAAUCUAUCAGCACAUCACAGCCACACAACACUUGUGUAACAGGGAGCCAGAGCUUCUGUCCCAAAAAGAGGGAGACAGCUAAUUUGCCUGCUGCCUAAGUGAACAAGCAGCCAAGAUCUAAGCAGCAGCAGGGAGGAUUGAGUGGCUCAAGGUAAACACUUGGAUGAGCUUGCAGAUAUGGCAGUGGCAGGGAUAGCUAAGGCAAACACCUGGCAGCUGGGCAGUCUGGAGAGAGUCUGAGGACCCUCUUCUGCCUCCAAGGCCAGAAGGGUGAGAACCAAUAGGAGUGCUGCUUCAGCAUGUGUUACCCAGAGUGGGCGAAAGUUUUUUACAUUAAAGUGACAGCUCACCUUUUCUUUAUAUUUGUUUACCCAGAGCAGGAGUGUUAAGGUUAAAGCAAUGGCUUGCCUUUAUGUUUCAGUUUAGACCAGUGGACCAGGAGUGGCUACAAGGGGUGAAGAGGAGGCCACUGGGGUACCUUGAGGGAUACACCAAGCUUUGGAGCCCUGCCAAGGACAGGACACCUUUCCGGGCAUGAGCUAAGGCAGCACGUGACUGUUUAUUCGAGACCUGGUGUUCACAAAUUGGAAUUAACAGUCACAUGCUGCCUUGGCUUUUGCCCGGAAAGGUGUUCUCCCUGCAACCUCCCCAGAAAACGCCAUGCUGGUGUUCCUUCCUCGGGAAGCCUUCCCCUAUCCUGCCUGCCAUGACUUGAAUGUUUUCUAGUGGUGGGGAAGUGGCUUGCCAGGGUCUUCCAUGACGCAGGGUCCCGGUGGUCACUAGCGGGGCUCUGCCACCCCUACACCCCAUCCUCACACCACCUUGAUGAGUUGUCUCAAAUUUGCGACCCAGUACCUCUUCCUCCACUACCGCAGAACCUCACGGGUCAACGCUUCUCCUCAGAUACCGCCUUCUGGGUCUGACGGUCUUCCUCCGUCUUAUGUCGUUUUUGUCCACCUUCCUCGUGGGGCCUGAGUUAACCUGAGAGAAACUUAGUCCUGCCCUCAACACAACUGGCCAUGUACUAAAUUAUGCACCGCCUCUCCCCCUAUCUCGACCCUUUUCCUACUUCUCAACCCCUUCACUCGGGGAAACGAAAAUUAACCAUUCAAAAGAAAAACACUCCCUUCCCAGGCCUUUUGCGUCAGAGACCCUAGGUGUCAAGCUCUCUCUACCCCUUGGCUAGGAGUGAACCCCUACCCGGGUUCUCUUUUCUAUCUUCUCCUUUUUCCCUUGCCUCUACAGCCCUGGGCUGUCUUGUCUUUCUGCUCCCUACAGCAUUCUUAUUUGGAGCCUGCUCUGCUCCCCUGUAGGAGGCCGGAUCUCCCUCUCCCUCAGGAGGACUCCCAGAGUGCUGUGACAUCUCUCUGGCUGCCUCCGCUGUGGCUCAUUCUCCAAGCCAGGCUUCUCCUCCUCCCUUUGACCCACGCCGCUCCCACCUGUGGAGGCAACUCCCGUGUGGCGUCUGAUGCUCUCCCUGCUGCUGGAACCUCUGCCGGCAGGCAGAGCCGCUUCUCUCUUGCUUUCGGCGUUAGUGGUGGGCUCCCGCCUUCUCAAGGUUUGACAAGCGUCAGGAGCCUCCUGCGGCUUCUCGUUCACUGCUCCUCCCUCCUGGAGAUAAUCCCGGGAGGGGCCGGGUGUCCCCGCCCUUCCCGGGUCCUUCCUCUCUCCCCCCUUCCCUUGUCCAUCCGUUUCUUUUAUCGCCAUUGUGCGGGGCUCCCUCAUGACAUCACUGGCCGGCCUCAGCUGAGUUAAACGCGCAGCUAAUGAGCUGUGCAGGUUUUUCUUUGAUUCCUGUUGCAUCACGGCUCCUGUUUAAGGUAAGUAAUCUUUUCUUAUUUUUCUCUUCCUGUGUGUUUGUUUUUCUCUCCUGGUACAGUUCUCCUUAAUCUCCAGGGAUCAUGUUCAAAUUCCUCAUGUGAUAAGACAUUCCUUUGUAAGGAACUGUCUCCAAAGUCUAACCCUUAUCACUACAGGUGCCCCCUUUGUGUCCAUGCCAGGACAGCUGUGCUGCCCGCCGCUGCUGGUACACCACUGCCCUGAACCCUGAUAGAGUCAUAGCCGCUUGGGAGGGGAAUGCAUUGUUUAGUUUAAAUUUAUUGUAAAUGGGGCUGGUUGAAUUUUAUGGGCAUGAAGGAAGGUACGUGAGGUGCACAAGAGGCAUCAAUACAAAUUCUGAUGCUCUUUCUAUCCUCCCUCCCUCCAGUUUUUAGAUCCCCUCCCACUGCUAGCUGCAGGCUGAUCAAUCCCUGUUGGUGUGACAAGAGGCAGAAAGAGAAAGAAAGAAAAAGGAAGAGGAUGGCAAUACUUCCUUCAGGAUACUCUCAACAAUUGAACUAUUAUGCAUUAUAAUUAUAGUUGACUUUCAUCCUGCCUGAUAUAGACUUCUAAUAACAGGUUUGCUGCACCCUUCUAGAGCCUCCCGCUUGAUGCACCGAUCCACAACUUUAAACCAGGUGACCAAGUCUUGGUGCAGAAGUGGAGAAAGAAUCCCCUCGCGGAAAGGUGGUAAGGACGCUACCAGGUGCUACUGACUACACACACAGCUGUUAGCUUAUCAAACAGUGAUAAGUGGACCCAUUGCUCGAGGGUGAAGCCUUUUCAUCAGGAGGACACCAACUCCCAGGGUAUGGUCAUUCCGGAAGCUGAUAACACCUGGGAACAAGAAGCCAACAAUUAGAAAAGUGAACCUGCUGGAGGUUUAAAAUUACGGUUACAAAGAUGUGGACACUAAUCUAUCUAUUGGGAUUUGUGUUCCUUUUAGGUAUAUCAAACCCAGAGCCGCGUUGCUGUAAGUGUUCCCAAAACUCGCGUACAACCCUCAAUAAGGCUAGCCAUAAAGCUUCAAAGUCUAAUAUAAUCAAGGCCCACCUGCAAACCCAUGGGUGGGAAAUGCAUGGGUGGCCCUUCUCAAGGAUUCAGCCCGGGCUCUAACUAACCAAAGUUGUCUUUUGUAUGCGCUUACUCCUGUUUCUAGUGAUGAGGGAGUCCCUUUCUUGCCUAUCCCCCUCAAUAGGACUGGUAUAGUCUCAGAUUGGGGUUUUAACCGGAAUUUCUCUUUGUGAUACAAUGGUUCUGGGAGAAUUAUGGUGGCAAAAGUUACCGGAUCUAUCUGCAUUUCCCAACACGGAGGUGGAUUUAGAGUGGGACAGUCAAGGUGCAAGGAAACAUGGAUUUCUAAGGAGAUCACCCCCUGGGAGGGUGCAUGGACACGUGCAAAUGUCUCAUAUAACAAGUUUGACAACUGUAGCUGCCUAUUGGGUAAGGAGUGGAUUUCAGUUUGGGGCAUUAAUUGUACCCACUAUCGAAAUGGUACCAAGGUGAGUGGGAGUUCAACAAAAAGAAGCUCACUAACUCUAACUUUAAUGAGCUCUCGUUCCACCAUCACAGAUGAAGCCUGUGGACUAUGGUGGAUUUGUGGGUGAUGGGCAUAUAGACAGCUUCCUGCCAAUUGGGCUGGGACUUGUUAUUUGGGGGCUUUAAUUCCGGGUGUUUGGAUAACACAACCCAAAACUCAUCGAACAAAACGCAGCACUGAUAUCUCCUUCAAGAGAAUAGCGGCAGGAGGGGGCCAAAAGUGGAGAAAUGAUGAGUGGCCAGCAGAGAGAAUCAUUCAGUACUAUAGUCCAGCAACUUGGGAGCCAAACGUAGUUGGCAGAGAGCCCACAUACUUGACAAACCGCAUUAUUAGACUCCAAGCCGUAGUAGAGAUAGUUACCAACAAAACAGCCGCAGCCCUGCGCCUGAUCGGCGAUCAGCUCACCCAACUAUGUACUACAGUACUACAAAACCCGUUAGCUCUUGACUAUUUACUGGCCAGUGAAGGAGGGGUGUGCAAAAAAUUUAAUUUGUCCGAUUGUUGCGUCGAAAUCGAUGAUAAUGGUGAAUUGAUAAAAACUUUAGCAGAUGACAUGGAAAAGAUAGCGCAUGUCCCAGUCCAAACUUGGAACGGGUGGAAAUUUGAUUGGUUUUAAUCCUGGCUUCCCCAGUUUGGAUGGUUAAAGGGGGGUUUAAUGGCUUUUUGUCUAUUAAUGUCAGGGCUCUGUUUGUUUCCCUGUAUUAUACCCUGCAUCAUGACCCUUGUGAGAUGGACCGCUCAGUCGGUCGUCAACCGUGAAAUGCUUAUACAUUACCAAGGGCUAGCCAUCGCUGACGAUUAUUAAAAUUAGAGUUAGAAAGCAUCUUGAGGGGGGAGUUGUGGUACAAACACGUUGGAAUUUAAACAUAAUGCCUUUUUGCAAAAUGCUUCUGUAUUCGACAUAACUUGCAAUAGCUUCUGCAUAUAGAUUGAGGCCUGCUUUGCACAUAGAACUUAAGUGACCUAGAGUUACAUGAGAUAAGGGGUUACUAAAGGACAUUAAGUUUGCCGCAGUUCCCCCUGUUAAAAACACACAUGUGCUAUAACCUAACCCAUAAUAAGUUGGGUCUAGCCUGGAAACUUUGACAUCCUGUGGAAACUUAGACGUAACAGUAAAAACUGUAAAGCUGCCAAUAGUUGCAUGACACGCUAAAGUUCUUUGUUUAGGUAAGCUAUAAAAUGGACCCGCGGGCAAAACCCGGGGUCGACUCCGAUUUGAGCGACUCAGCUCCCUUGUCGAUCUGUUUGCAAACAAUAAACUUGAUGUGGACCCAG